rnacentral:lncRNA from 1 species
GGAUACUGAUUCGGAUGAAGACAAUUUGAUGAAAACAACCUGAGUGUAAUCGUCUUCAGAAAGAAAUGAAGAACAGCAAAAAAAAUAAAAGAAUAUUCCUCUGUUUCCAACAGGAUUUACAAUGAUAUAUAUCUACUUUCUAUCAAAGUAGUAAUGAUAUAAUUAAGACAAAUAGUUUUAUGCCCCACUUUCGAUAGUAUAGGAGCAUUUUGUUUUCUGGUCGGUGCGUCCGUUCGUCUGUUCGUCCGUUCAUCCGAUCCUUCAGGUUUAAGUUUUUGGUCAACGUAGUUUUUUUUCUGUAUGUGAAAGAAUGUAUAUGAUAACACUUUAAUAAUUAAAAAAAGGAAAUAAUGUAAUAAAUUGUAAAACUAAAACAAAAAAUAAAAAUUUGAAGUCUAAUCAACUUGAAACUUAUUACACAUGUUCCCUAUGAUAUGAUCUUUCUAAUUUUUAUGCCAAAUUAAAGUUUUCAUCCAAACUCCUUUGUUGUGAAUGUAAAUAUAAUAAUUACUAGAAAUAUAUCUUUUAAGACAAAUAUUGAAAUAGUGUGUGCACCUGAUUACAGUAUAUCCACAUUCGGUCGAGUGAAAAAUGUUGAGGAUAAUUAAGUAUGUGCAUUUUUGUACAGUUAAUAUUAACAAAUAUAUACAGCAACUAUAACUUUUGUAACAUAUAUUGGAAAGCAAUAAUGCUUCGUUGCUGUUUUGAUGUAGGCAACAAGUACUGUUUCGUAUUGUGUCUGAUCUUUACAAGGUCAAUUAUAAACAUUAAACAAAUACUGAAUAUUAAUGUCCGCAACCCAAAAUAAUUGCAAACUUUGAUAAAUGCUGGUUUAAUAUUUUUUGCCCAAAAGUAAUCGUUGAGAAAAAAUAUAACAUUUAAAUUAACAAAUCAUUUUUUUUUCUUACGGUGCUUUGUGGUUUCGCAAGAUAUCGCUUAGAUUUUUUGCAUGUGAUAUCGAACAGUUAUUGCAAUUUUGAAACUGACCCUGUUUAGCCUAACACUUUUUACUGUAAGUGUUAUCUCACAAAACACUUCUUUGUGAGUGCAAAUCUCCUUCGCAACCACUAAAGAUUACGAAAAAUUAUUUUACCCUCAGGAUGUUAAGAAUAAUUUUGACCGAAGCGGUCCGGAGACUCAAUUUGAGAGUUUUACCCCUUUUGUAUUUUUAAAUUUUUAAGAAAAAUGUAGUUGUAACUUGUAAACCAUAAGUGAUAGAGACAAGGGUCUUUUGAAAUUAGGAACUUAGUCCCUACAGAGAAAAUGGUGUCAAGUUCAAAGGUCAAGGUCAGAUUCUGAAUUUGUAUUUUGGCUUAAUAUUGCUUAUUUUCAGAAGCCGUAUGAUAUUUGACAAAAUAGUUUUACAAAACUGAUUUUUGCGAAAGGUAGUUUCUUCCCCUCCUAUACUCAAAAUAAGCUGUGUUGGGAUAGCCUCAGAAUUCAUUUCCGUAAUGUAGUAGGGACGAAGGGUAAUUUGAUGUCAGAUCCUUGCUUUAUGAUCUUUAAGAGUUAAAUUCAAGGCCAAAGGCAAAAUUGAUGUUCUAGAUUUUGAUCUCUGCUGUAAACUCAUAUUUAAAGAUGGCAAAGCCUUUGAAUCUUUGUAUUAGGUUAGUAUGCACGUAAACUUGAAUAUUUCAACCAGAAGUUAUGUUUCAAAUUUUAAAACCAGAAGUUGCAAUUUAUCUCCCUUACUUUAAGUAAAAGUAUAUACAUUGUAGAAACUAUAUAGUUUUAGAAUCAGAGUAAAGUAAGCUAUUAACUUUGAUUUAACCGUAAGUGGCUUAUUAUCUCCAUUAUAUGAUGUACUAGGGUGAAUUAAGGUAAAAUUAAAUAAAUCAAGAAUUCAAAAUUGAUACCUUAAGCUGGAAGAGUAUAAGUUAAGGAUCAAAAUAAGCUAAAAAUAUUUUUAGGUCAUGGAGCUCCUUUUGAGAUAUUUGAUUUAUGAAGUAUAGCGGGAAGAGGCGGUCUCGGACUUUUACCUUAUAUUUGCGUUGGUAUAAUUUGGGUCUCAAAUCAACAGAAAGAAAAUCAAGAAUCUGCUUAAAUUUUAUCAAAUGACCUUUUAUGAGCUGUUAAGUCUUAUGUUAACAGAUAAAUAGGUGUAAUGAGGCAAACUAUUUUACCUUGUAUCGUAUGGAAAAACAUCAAAGAGUUUGAAAAGUUGACACUUAUUCCAAAACCUCACCUAAGUACAUCCUUACACAUUGCAUUUUCAAAAUCAGUGUGUGAUAAGCUAUCAUUUAAGCCGGAACAUAUAAAUUUUUAUCAAAAAUUCUGAUAUUGAGUUAAUUUGAGUGGAUUGACCUUCAAUUGUUCUCUGAAGAACUGGGUUUGAAUUUUUUAAUGCUUUCGUCAUUGUUCUUCCAUUUAUCUGACAUUUCUGAAUGGUACUAUCUUCAAAUAAAUGCAUAUUCUAAUUGUAAGGUUAUGUGUCUUUUUUUUUAUACAUGUAACAUGUAAACGGGAAGGUUUAUUCUUAAAAUAAUUACACAAUGAUACUGAAAUUUCUUCUAAAAAUUCUGUUUUACACAUUAAUAAGUUGUAUUGAUACAUGAGAUUGCUUUUCUUGUAUGGUGAAAAAGUUAAUUUCAUUUUCAAAAAUACCAUACAGAAAUUGAUCACAUGGUUGUUUUCUUUAAAAAACGUAAUCCAUACAUAUCUAAGGUAACGAAGUAAUAAUAAAAUCUUCCAUCCGCUUCUUUGAAUAUGAAUAAUGAUAAAUAAUCUAAACAUUUUGAGAGAAAAGCAUAUUACUAUGAUUGUGACUUUUCAGUUACCAUUACGUCUAAUACUUUUGUUCACAUUUUGCUAAUACACUAUACAUGGCUUUUGCGGUUUGUUACUUUUAAAAAAUAUUUUGUUGUCUUAUAAACAUGAUACACUUCUAGAAAAUAAAACUAAAUAUUUGUUUUCUUUUACGAUUUUCGUAUUGUAACACUUGAGAUUUUCUGGCAUUCUGCCACUUGUAUAUAUUAUAACUUUAGUGUAUCAACAUUGUAUUGUAGACCAGUGCUGAAAUCUACUAAUAAAAUAGUGCCAUACGUG